rnacentral:rRNA from 1 species
AUGAGCAUUUUUCAUCACGAUAUUUUUUUCUCCCUCAUUCUUGUUUUGGUUUUCGUAUCACGGAUGUUGGUUCGCGAUUUAUGGCAUUUCAACGAGCAAACUAAUCCAAUCCCACAAAGGAUUGUUCAUGGAACUACUAUCGAAAUUAUUCGGACCAUAUUUCCAAGUGUCAUUCUUUUGUUCAUUGCUAUACCAUCGUUUGGUCUUGUGUUGCCAGUACUAAUAAUGGCAUUUGUUGUCUUAUUCGGAGUUCAAGGAAUAGCCUUUCAUCUUGGGAAUGAGAAAGUCGCGGAUCUGAAUGUUAUCGUCAUGACCAAUGCUCCUAACGAGGGUGACUUUCCCAUAGACCAACCUCCCGUUGGCAGACUACCAGACCUCCAGCAGGAAAUGGCGCACGCCGCCCAUCCCGAAGACAUUAUUGCGGAGUUGACUUCCAAGGUUGAAAGAAUAUUUCACGAACUAGGCACGCCUCUUCCUUUAGAGGAGGGUGAAUCUGCGUGA